AUGGCUUCAGAAAAAUUGGUGAACCUACAGGAGGAGGUGACCUGCCCCAUUUGCCUGGAGCUUCUAACAGAGCCCCUGAGCCUUGACUGUGGCCACAGUUUCUGCCAAAUCUGCAUCACUGCAAACAGCAAAGAGUCCGUGCUGGCCAAGAGGGAGAGAAAGUGCCCUGUGUGCAGAAUCAACUAUGAAUCUGGGAAACUGAGGCCUAACUGGCACCUGGCCAACAUAGUGCAGAGGGUCAGGGAGGUCAAACUGAGCCUGCAAGAGCAAGAGAAACAUCUCUGUGCUCACCAUGGAGAAAAACUCGUGCUCUUCUGUGAAGAGGAUGGGAAGGUCAUUUGCUGGCUUUGUGAGCGGUCCCAGGAGCACCGUGGUCACCCUACAGUUCUCAUGGAGGAGGUUGCCCAGGAAUACCAGAAGAAACUCCAGACAGCUCUGGAGAGGCUGAAGCAGGAGCAGCAGGAAGCUGAGGAGUUGGAGUCUGACUUCAGAGAAGAGAUUGCUGCCUGGAAGAGUCAAACACAAUAUGAGAUACAAAAUGUCCAGGCAGAGUUUGAAAAACUGAGAGCAAUCCUGGACAGUGAGGAGACGAAGGAACUACAAAAGCUGAAGGUUGAGGAGACAGCCACUCUGUGUACCAUAGCAAACUCUGAGAAUGAGCUGGCCCAGCAGAGCCAGUUGGUGAGAAAUCUCAUCUCAGAAAUAGAGCAUCGUCUGCGGGGGUCAACAAUGCAGAUGCUGCAGGAUGUAAAUGACAUCUUGAAAAGGAGUAACACUUUGACUCUGAAGAAGCCAAAACCGGUUCUCAAGGAACAGAGAAGUGUGUUUCGAGCUCCUGAUCUGAGAGACAUACUGCGAGUAUUUAGUGGGCUGAGAUAUAUGCAACGCUAUUGGGUUGACGUGACCCUGAGUCAUACAACAGGGCUGAGAUAUAUGCAACGCUACUUUCCACAAUUUCAUAUUUGCAUUAGAAGAAAAUCUGAAUUUAUCAUUUUUCCUCCACCAAGGGAAAAUGACUGA
rnacentral:lncRNA from 1 species